AACGAACGUUGGCGGCGUGCUUAACACAUGCAAGUCGAGCGCGAAUCCUUGCUUCGGCGAGGUAGUAGAGCGGCGAACGGGUGAGUAACACGUGAGUAAUCUACCUUCAAGUUUGGGUUAACGACCCGAAAGGGUUGCUAAUACUGGAUAAGACCACAACGCCCUUGGGUGAUGUGAGAAAAGGCUUCGGUCGCUUGAAGAUGAGCUCGCGUCCCAUUAGCUAGUUGGUGAGGUAAUGGCUCACCAAGGCUUCGAUGGGUAGCUGGUUUUAGAGGAUGAUCAGCCACACUGGAACUGAGACACGGUCCAGACUCCUACGGGAGGCAGCAGUGGGGAAUCUUGCGCAAUGGGCGAAAGCCUGACGCAGCAACGCCGCGUGAGUGAUGAAGGCCCUCGGGUCGUAAAGCUCUGUCCUGGGAGAAGAAUUUUGACGGUAUCCCAGAAGAAAGCACCGGCUAACUCCGUG
rnacentral:rRNA from 1 species